ensembl:lncRNA
GGUGUUGGUGCGGCUCUCCUCUCCUGUCGGUGGGUAAGCACUUUGCCGGGUGACAGCACUCAUCCUUCACUGGGCUCUGCCAUAUGCUGCGCCGAUGCCAGAGGAGACGACUGCAGAUGCUCCAGCUGCACCCCCCGUGCACAACGAGCAACGCGCGCACACACACACACACACAUGCGCAACCAGCUAUCUGAGCAGGAUAAAGAGGCUGGUGGGAGAGGAUGUGACAAGGGGGGAAAGGCUGCAUUUGGAGUUUUGGGUAAAAAAGGAAAAGCAAAGCAAUCUUUCAUUCCUUGUAAAUGAGGUAAAAUAUAAUUCUAAUUUUGUUCUGCCUAAUCAGAACAGGGAGCAAAAAGUUGAAAGGCUUUGCAUGAGACGAUUUGGAUCAUUUGAAAAGGGGUCAAAGCAAUAGAAAUGAAAAUAAGGCUUGAGACAAAGGAAGAGAAUGCAUGCUUGAUUUUCUUUUCGUGCACAGGGGUUUUUAUCGGGAUGGCUUGUUGUCACCCAGUAUUUUAGCCACAAUGGCUCCUUUAAUUGAUACCGCCUUUGCAACACUUCUGCACCAGCAACACAUCAACAGAUCUUUCGCAUCCCUCCAGAAGCUCUUGGCUUCUCAGUAGAAAAUAAACAAACAGGCAACUUUGGCCUGCUUAUUUAUUUUAUUUUAGUUUCCUUUUUCCAAACAUUUCAUCUAGCAGCGCCUCGGAGUCUAGAAGCUAUCACUUUAAUGUCUGCGAUCCUCCAGCAGAGAAAACAAAAGUACUCGAAAAGACACCCGAAUGGCUGGUGCUUACAGACGACACGCAGUGGCUCAUGCUCACUGCCAGCUGUGAAACUAAGUGUGCGUGCGUGUGUAGGUGAAAACUGCCCGUGUCUGCCUGUGUAUGUGUACGGACAGGGUUAGACAGCCACGCUUGGCUGUAAAUCCGGCGCCGGCGCUUCGUUCAGCAGCUCGACUUCAAACCAUGCGUUAAAUAUGCCUCUGUGUGUGCAGAUAUACCUGAAGGCCUCUGUGUCAAUGGCGGGCUUCUCCCUGUGAGUCACGGACACAGCUGGGUUCCGUGCAAACAGCCAACUGAAUUCACCGCUCCGACACGAGGAGAACGCGGAUGGGUGGAUACGGUGGUUUGAUCUAGUAGGAGAAAAAAAGAAAAAAUUGAGAAUCGAGUUUCCGUCUCAACAGAAAAUACACCGUAAGUUGCUAAAGGUAAAAGUCCCGCCCCGAUGUUUCAUUCCAAAUGUCUACUUUACUUUCAAAAGAAAAAAGCACGUUGUACCUUUUUUACGUAAGACAACAAACCUGGCUGAGGAGUUGGAGGUGUGCGGCUCAUCACAUUGUCUUUGUUCUUUGAUUUGUUGUGUGAGUUGUGUGAGUUGUGUGAUCUUUCUCUGAUGUGUUAGGCUAUCUGCCCAGUUUUUUCUUCCUUUGUUUCCUUAAAAACAAGCCCAGAAAUACAAAGCGUGUCACACUUUGUCCUUCAAAGAAAAGACCAAACGGUAUCUUGUAAGAACAGCGACUGCAAAAUUGUCUUUUAGGUUGAAUAAGGUCCUUGAAAAAACAAUUAUAACCACUUGGGAUGAAAUGAAUAGCAUGAUAUUAAAGGAGGCUCUAGCUAUUCUCUUCUAAGGGGAGAGUGCAGUGUUGAUUCUUGACUUUUAUUUAAUAGUGCUGGGACUUGGGGCUCUGUUUGCUUGAUGGUGGUCAACGUUUGCAGCGGCCGUUAACUCUGAGUCCUGUUUCAGAGUCCGUCAGAUAUCCUGUCAUUGCUCUGAGGAUUUUUGAUUUUUUUUUGUUUUGGGGGGGAUAGCACCUGAAGGUGGGUUGAGAGGACAAAUAAGAAAAGGAAGAUGGAAAAAGAGAGCUGCAGAGCGGGCGGUGACAGCGGGGAUGUUGACUCUGACCGGCUGGAGAGCCAGUCGUGCAUUAUAACAAGCCGGUGAUGAGAUUUGCGCCCAGAGGAUUCAGAGGACGGGUUCAAAGAUAUAAUAAUGCCGUUGUAGUGUGUUUAUUUAGCUGGUUUUAAUGAAAAUCCUGGAGUUACUGGUCACUUUAUACUUUCUCUCAUUUUUCAUCUAGUACAGACCCACCGUGUCUUAGACGUUCACUGUGUGAUUAAAACAUACUGUAUCACCCUUCAACCCUAGAUUCAGGUUGAGUUGCAAUCAAAUUCCCUCUUAAUAACAGACGACGUUAUACACUGCUGCACUCUCUCUGUAAAAUAAAGUCAAUUGUGUUCUUAAUGCAUUGGUGUUGUUCAUCACACUGAUGAAUAUGGUGUUUUUAAAUGGAACAAAAGCGCAGGUACAAAAAGAUGUAGACAACAUGUUUCCUGUGUAUCCAAUGCUCAGAGCGUUGAAUCCUAAACUAUUAGCAAAUAUAAGUACUCUUGCUGCAAUUUUGGAGGGAAUAAAAUGCAGUCCUGACCUCUCAUCAACAAAGAGGGACAAAAACAAUUCAAAUUGAGUAUUAAUUACAACCAAGCGUUGGAAGCAUUAGCAGCUACGAAAAGAGGAGGGUAAAUGUUAAAAAAUGAAUUAAUAAAUAGUCAGUGGGCUGCAGCAGGUGCACAAUGGAAUUAAAUUGCGUUUCGCUAAUUUUGGUAUCCAUUUGAUAUUAAAAUAAAGGCUGCAAUUACACAAUUUAGUUUUCCCUCUAAUUAUAAGCAAUUAAAAUAAUUUAACUAUGGUGGAUAUAGCUGUUCGCUCGCCUGGCAGCCAUUUCUUGAAACUGGUUUUGGGCCCCGUCUCUGCCAGCAGAAUUGUUUCGAAUUUUGCCAUUCAUUCUGUCAGUUUGGGUUUGCUUAUUGUAAGUAUUUCUCAAAAAUCCAUUAUUUUACACAGAUUCUGCAGAAAGAUUGGUCAUCUGUCAAAAAACACAUAACUUCUACAUGUAUUCUAGAAACAUCAUUAGACACUGUGUCCCAGUCAAACAGGCACUUAUUUCAAUGUUAGUUAUAUCGAAUAUACUUUAUAUGGUGAAUAACAGUUUUUGAAACCCGUAUAGCAAUCUAAUUGCACCCUCUCUGAUUUGAUGCCGCAAUAGUCUUUAAAUGUGUCUAAAAUUGAACGCCAUGUGUUGGCAGUCAUGGAAAUGAGUGGAAAGGAGCUUUGGAGGAAACUGACACGUGGGCCUGGUUAAUCUUGACAAUUGCAUGGAGCUACUGGAGAUUCACACUGAGUGCCAUAUAGUUGCCCAUAAAGUCAGCAGCAGUAUGACUCUAAUACGAGGGAAACAACAAGUGUUCCCUAAGUUAAUGAAUUUCACUUUAUUUGACUUUUUUUUGUUCCAAACUAUUUCACGCUUGGCUAAACACUGUAAAUCCAUAAACAAACACAUAAACAGGCAGAAAAAGAUUGAUGCUCUAUGAAUAAAUCAUCUGGGGACAGAAACUCAAUUUUAACUCUGCGUUGCCUGGAGGGUUAAGAGGGAGCUUAAGACAGAUCCAUCUUGAUGUCUGAGGAACUAACUGGAAGGCGAACGCUUUAGCAAGUACUUAUCCCGGGAACAUAAUUACCCAAACAAAUGAUUGUGGUGAUAUGGCGGCAAUGAUUCUUCAUUACUGUAAUUUUUUACCCACAGUUUUUACACAGAUUGUAUUUCUGUCAUCAUCAUCAUCAUCAUCGUCGGCAUGAUUAACACAGCUGGGGAAUAAAUAAAAGCUGGCUGGUCGGCCAGUUGGACACUAAACUGGGACUAACAGCCUUUUCCCACAAACGCAAACAAACCUUUGGCAUUCAAACCUUUCACACACAAAUAUCACAGUUCAAUACAUUCUACCAAAUCACACAAUCAUCGCUUCAUAAGUGGGUUUCACUGCAUGUAAACACACACGCUAUCUACACAUUAGACCCUUCAUACAACGGGUGCUAUGAUGUUCUACAUGAAAAGUUACACACCUAUAAAGCUUAACAAGUGUGCAUUCUGAACGUCAGCUUUCCUCAUUCACGGAUGGACUGAUUCAUUUCUAGCGUAUGUAGCGUAUUCGUAUGUGUUUAUUUCUAUGUGAUACAUACCUAAUGGUCAUUUUAAUUUACUUCCGGGGCUGCGUGGAUUUCUCAAGCAAAGAUAGCGAGCUUAUAUGCCGGCGUGCUGGUAAUAACAUAAUUAGGGCUGCAGGCUACCGAAUAAUUUGAAGCUUCAUUCCUAACGUUGACAUUCAAAUUAUUAUUAUUAACAACUUGCAGAAAACAUUGCGCGCGAUAGUCUCUCUCUCUCUCUCUCUCUCUCAGUUCAUGGCUCUGUAUCGUCUCAGUCCAAAUGUCUUGAACAAAGAUGAAUCGAAAACUUUCCAAAGUUCAUAUGUUUUUAUUUCAUGAAAAAUGUGCUUAUUUCCGUGGUCUGACGGAUCGAAUCCCAAUGUGAGCAAGAUCUGAUCCCAAGGCGUACAGAUUUGACAUUUAUUGAUUGAAUGAGAAAAAUCACAUCGAAGACCAUAAGGAACCACAGCCUAAGAUUUUGGUGGGCCUUCAAAUCAUCAGAUUUUCCCCUCUACACACACAAUACUGACCCUAACCAAUCCUAAAAAUGUUUGACAUUUGGAGGGAACCCAAAUGUUUUUGGUAACCCCUUUUUACAUUUGACAUCGUACCACCAUCAAGCCAAAACGUUCUUUUCUGAUAUUACAGAUAUCUAAUGACUACAAUGAUUACCCUACUAUUACCUUGUGAUGGCUUUCAUUUAAUGAACAUGGUUAAGUCAUUGUUCAACACUGGGUUGUGCAACGUAAUGCAUUUAUAGUCCUAAUUAGGCUGUAUAAGAAACAACAGCAUCUUUGAGUUAAGAGGUCUAAUCUGUGACAAUUCCUAAAUUGAUCUAUUAUUAUAGAUGUGGGGUAUUUGUUUAUUUCGCAAUUGCAAAUGUAGUUAAACCGGCUACGUCUCUGCUUUUAGUUUGUGGGUGUCUGAAGGAUAAAGAGGACGGGCUUGAUAAUGACAGAAGAUGACAGCCGCUAGCGUGAAGACUGUCAGGGCAGCGAGCGUGUCUAAAUAACCAGGUGCUGCCAUUUAGUUUCCACCUAGUUAAACAGUGGACUAAUUGGUCAAGUUAGCCAGUAAUUAGACCAGCUCUGCCGCGCUGCAUCCGAGAGCCCUGCGUCUGCCCUGCCGCGCUAAUUGGGCUAUUUAUACUGAAACCCAUCGACCAGGCUGCAUGCCCUCCCUUCCAAUUCGCUUUUCAGCACUCAGUUCAUCUUUUUUCAUGUGUGCUCGGGACACGGUGCCGCCCUCCUCCUCCUCCUCCUCCACCACC